CGUGUAGGCGGCUUGGCAAGCCGGAUGUGAAAUCCCGGGGCCCAACCCCGGAACUGCAUUCGAAACUGCCUGGCUAGAGUCCCGGAGAGGAAGGCGGAAUUCCCGGUGUAGAGGUGAAAUUCGUAGAUAUCGGGAGGAACACCAGUGGCGAAGGCGGCCUUCUGGACGGUGACUGACGCUGAGACGCGAAAGCGUGGGGAGCAAACAGGAUUAGAUACCCUGGUAGUCC
rnacentral:rRNA from 1 species